rnacentral:rRNA from 1 species
GAUGAACGCUGGCGGCGUGCCUAAUACAUGCAAGUCGAGCGAACAGAUGAGGAGCUUGCUCCUCUGACGUUUGCGGCGGACGGGUGAGUAACACGUGGAUAACCUACCUAUAAGACUGGGAUCACUUCGGGAAACCGGAGCUAACACCGGAUAAUAUCUUGAACCGCAUGGUUCAAUAGUGAAAGACGGUUUUGCUGUCACUUAUAGAUGGAUCCGCGCCGCAUUAGCUAGUUGGUAAGGUAACGGCUUACCAAGGCAACGAUGCGUAGCCGACCUGAGAGGGUGAUCGGCCACACUGGAACUGAGACACGGUCCAGACUCCUACGGGAGGCAGCAGUAGGGAAUCUUGCGCAAUGGGCGAAAGCCUGACGGAGCAACGCCGCGUGAGUGAUGAAGGUCUUCGGAUCGUAAAACUCUGUUAUUAGGGAGGAACAAAUGUGUAAGUAACUAUGCACGUCUUGACGGUACCUAAUCAGAAAGCCACGGCUAACUACGUG